rnacentral:rRNA from 1 species
AUUGAACGCUGGCGGCAGGCCUAACACAUGCAAGUCGUGCGAGCGGCGGACGGGUGAGUAAUUUAUGGGGAUCUGCCUGAUGGCGGGGGAUAACUUCUGGAAACGGUAGCUAAUACCGCAUACCCUCAGAUGAACCCAUAUGGGAUUAGCUUGUCGGUGAGGUAACGGCUCACCUAGGCGACGAUCCCUAGCUGGACUGAGAGGAUAAUCAGCCACACUGGGACUGAGACACGGCCCAGACUCCGACGUGAGGCAGCAGUGGGGAAUAUUGCACAAUGGGCGAAAGCCUGAUGCAGACAUGCCGCGUGUAUGAAGAAGGCCUUAGGGUUGUAAAGUACUUUAAGCGGGGAGGCGUUACCCGAAGAAGAAGCACCGGCUAACUCCGUGCCAGCAGCCGCGGUAAUAC